UACGAAGGGGGCUAGCGUUGUUCGGAAUUACUGGGCGUAAAGCGCACGUAGGCGGAUUUGUAAGUCAGGGGUGAAAUCCCGGGGCUCACCUCGGAACUGCCUUUGAUACUGCAAGUCUCGAGUCCGAUAGAGGUGAGUGGAAUUCCUAGUGUAGAGGUGAAAUUCGUAGAUAUUAGGAAGAACACCAGUGGCGAAGGCGGCUCACUGGAUCGGUACUGACGCUGAGACACGAAAGCGUGGGUAGCAAACAAG
rnacentral:rRNA from 1 species